UUAGCUGGAAAUCCACAAGAGCAGCUGUCCAGUGCAACGGUACAUAUUUGCUUCUGAAUCCUUUCUCAAAGGCACUAUUUAAACAUGUUGAUGAACUGAGCUGGAUUUCUCCCCACCUCCAUUCCAGCAAAACAAAGAGACUCAGAAGACAAAAUUUGUGUUGUUUUUGAAAGUAGUCCUAUGUGCCUUUCUUCUGCCAAUGUCUGGAUGGGAAUCACUUCAGCCUGUCAACACCUAACUUUAAUUAGCUGAAGACAUUUCUCAAAGUGCUCCUUCUCCCUUGGAGCUGUUUCCUGCAAUCAUUCCAGCUCAAAAAACCUACCAAACAAAAAACCAACAACAAAAAAAGGAGGAACCAGGAGUGACAAAAGGCAGGUUGUUAAAGGACUGUGGCUGAGGUGGUGUCACUCCUCCUCUCCUCCACCUUUAGCCAAAGAAUUAAAUUGUUAGGAAGGGCUUUACCCAAUGUCCCUUCUACUCCUGUGGGCAGCAUUUAUGCAUGUGACCAACUUCCUUCUCUCAUGAAAGAAGAUCUGAGCUAAUUUAGCUGUACUCCAAGUGCCACCAAAACAAGCUUCCUAAAGCAGGAAUGAUAUUUUUCAUAGUAAAAGAGAAACAAAGUACAAGGUGAGUCAUGCUUUUAACAUUUGUGAGAGUUCUGUGACACCUGUUUCAAACAAAACUAAAAGUGUCCAUCAGCCACUUGCUCUCCUGUUUGCUUUGCACCACCUGCAUUGGUGUCUGUAGGCAAUAAAUCAUAAAGUAGAAACAUGGACUGAAUCCUGAGAUACUAUUUUAGGUUAAACUCUCAUUAGUGGCAAAGGAAGAUCUGUCUGACUAAUCUUAUCAUCCUCUAAUUUUUUCACUGUAAAAAGGAAGAAUACCAAAAAGCUACAUUCCUGCAGCAUCCAGCAGUUUUGCUUCUCCCAAUUUCAAAAACCAGAACAUUACCCACUAAUGUUGUUUAAAAGCAGCAGGGUAAAACCAUAUCUCCUAACAGGACUUGGGCUAGAGAAACAAAGAUUUGUUCCUUAAGUGUCAGCUUUUGGUUUCAUAGUGCAAUUUUCUCUGUCUUGUUAAUUUAGCUUGUCUUUUCUCCUCAUCUUCAAUGCCUUUUGCACCAAUUUCUGAAAUACUACUUUUAAAUUUUCAGAUCUACUUGCUGGAAAAAUUAAAGGAAAAAAAAGGAGAAAAUUAACUACACUAGAAAUCAAAAGUGUUCUGUAAAUUAAGGUCAUGAAUUGCUAGAAAAAUAAGAAGGCGUUGUAAUUUUUGUUUCAAAGUUACAGAAUGUUCUUUUUAUUUUGAAGCAAACUAACCGUGAAGUAAAAUGGGCUAAUUCUACCAUUUUUAACAGUGAAACUGUCCAUGGUGGUUAUGAAAUCCAAAUAAUCAAAUGAAUACUCAAGUCUAGAUGGUAAUUCUGACUACUACUACUUGCAAACCUCAUCAGUGGUAAUGACACAUGACAUCAGUUCUGAUCAGAGGAAAAAUGUGAUAACAAUUUCCUAUGUAUUACUUUGUGCAAGUCAGUUAGUAGUUCUAGAAUGUUUUGACUGACUAAAAUGCUGCAGAAGUGCUCAUCUUGUAAUUGUAUAUCUGAUCUUCAUGUAAUACUCUUAAACAUUCUUAGCAGAUUUCUUUAAUUCUGAAAUGUAUUCUUCCUUCUAACUCCGAACUAUUUAGCUUUGAUAUGGUCUAGCAACUGAUAACUCACACAAGGCUGUGCCUCCCAUGAUUUGAAAGUUAAAUUCAGAAUAUCGGCAAGAUGAUGUAUCUUCCACUUCACUGAAUUUUACACACUUUGAUAAUACUAUUGAUUUUUUAAAUUAUAAAAAUCAUCACACCAUGGUUCUGAAUUUUUGCUUUCUGGUGCCAACAGUUUACAGCAGAAGACUAAAAUAAUGUAAAAUAUGUAGAAAGGGUAUCUGUUACAUGGUGCUCAAGAUCUGGAAUCUGUUGCUCACUGGUGGUUCAUAAGACACUUAGGAAAGAUGUAACACAUGAGGUCAUGUGUACAGAUUUACAUAAUGAAAUUUCUAUUAUCAGAAUAAUUAAGGUAAAACCAAGAAGUCUUAGAUACUAGUGAAGUUCACUAUGAAGUACUACAUUUAUCAAAAUCCAAAAGCAACAAAAAUUUCUGGUUAAGUGCAAAUUAUGAAUUGUGUCUUAGAAAAGGUAUGGUUAUUUAAUCCACACCUUUGUCAUCUCAAGUUUAUACUUUGAAUGCAUUCUGGUUUGUACUGUCCAUAAGGAAACCAGAGAAGUGUCAGCUGUGUCAACAGGCAGGCAUCAGCCCCCUAAGGGAUGAUGGGACUUUGCUCUUAGCAUGUUGCCCUGACACAUCACACUGGUUUCUGUUGCUUUUUUCAAGGUAGCUCAACUGCUGCUUUCUGGGUUCCACUUAUUUGAAAACCCUCUCUGUUUCUCAUAAUGAAUGGGACUGACAGAGAUGCUUUACUUUACCCUGCUGCAUUAUGUAGGUAUUUACCUGUGGGGUAUGAAAACUGCUUUCUGAUUAAGAAACUUAAAUAUAGAACUUAGCUUUCCUCUUCCAGUCCUUCGUGCCCCAUUUUCAUAUGCACAAAUGAAGGAAAGAGAUAGUGAGAGAAAGACAGAAUACACUGACCCACUGUCUUAGAAGAAAUUUUUAGAUAUAGAUGAAUAAGACUGAAAAUAAUCAGUAGGCAAAAUAUGAAUACAGGAUUUUAAUGGGAAAGAAAAGAUUAAUUAUUUGUGCUUCAUGGUGAUAAUAUUUUGAAAAGUGGAUAGGCUGGAUAUUCUGCUCAUAGGUAGGUGCCUUAAGACCUGUAGAAUUCAUUGUGUUAUAUUACUCCUUUGUUUAUAUUGCUGGAUCGUAUUUUCUAAAAUGUUUAGUGUUGCAGCUUUUGGACCUGAAUGUUAGAUAAUGUGCCAUUAGGUGCUGGCUUGUAUUUGGAAAGAAGGCCUUACAACCAAAGGUUGAAAGUGCAUGAUUUAUUUCUCCUCUUCUAGUGCUGUAAUACUUGAUUUUGUGGAGCUUGAUAUCUACCCUAUCAUAUGGUGUUGCAGAAACUGAGUCACAAGUUAGGAGGUAACAUCCAAAUGCUGCAGCACUUCAAAAGAGUCACCCCCCAAAACGUUAUCAAAAUUAUUUCAAGGAUCUCUAUAACUCAAUUUAACAUGAAGGGCUUUGAUUUAUGCUCUGUAAAAACCCAGUCUAUUUCAAGGCAACAUCUGAAACACAUUGCAGCCCUUUUCUGACUGUGGGAGUAAAUUCUCAAAAAAUAGCCUUCCCUUCUCAUUACCAGCUAAUGAUGUACAUGUAUGAUUUGUUUGAGUUUCUCUAUCCAACUGUGUUCUUCCUGACUUGGGAGAAAGAUGUGUUUGUUCAGCCACACGGUUCAGCCAAUUCAGUAAUGAGUAUCCACUCCUCCUGGCUGACUUGGAGCACAGAAGAAACUGUUCCACUUAAACCUGUAGUCUUCAUAAGGUCAACAUGCAAGCACAUAAGCAAGUCCCAGUAUUAUAGGCAGCCUUAUGGGCAAAUUGGAAAAGAUAAUGUUAUUUUUUUUUACUGCAAAUUUUGGCUCUUCCAGAUCCUUAAAAUGCACAAUUUUGAGUAAACAUAUAUAUUUAUUUAGAAAGACUUUUGUAGAAAUAUCUUUCAAAAUAUCACUUGGUAUAAGGGAUUUUGCCAAAUACACACACUUCCUACGAACGUUAUUUUACAUUUUCUACAAAAUUAUUUUAAUUAAAAAAACCUCACAAAAGCAAAACAUUUAAUCAGGUCAACAUAAAAAUGUAUCCAAAAAAAGUUAUCCUGACAUGCACACGGGAGCUCAUAGAUAAAAAGUAUUCUCAGAAAUUUCCUCUUUUCCACAGUAAAUGAUCAGAAAAAUAGGUGCCAGAAAUAUUAACAUAUCCAAUUACUUCCAGCAAUGCUUUGCUUUCUUAUGUGUCAUCCUGUAGAGUGACUGAAAUAAUUGCUCAAAAAGAAUGUACCGGAGUCUACAAGUUAAAUUUCUGAUUCCGUUUCAUUAAAUGGAGUCAUUAUAUACAAGAACUAUGGAUUUGGUUCUCCUUUGCUCAGAAGUCUCUUUAUGCCACUUUGGCAGUGCAGAAGGGCUGUAAAACAACUAAUGCAAUUAAUGCCUGACUGAAUGCCCACUGGCACAGACUGGAACAUGGACAUGAAAACUGAGCCCCAAUUUUUUCUGAUUAUUUUAUCUAAAUGAAAGUCCCAUAAUUGUAAUCAAAAUCAUUAGCUACUAAAGAACAGAAAUAAAUCCACUGAUUUUUUAAAUUAUUAUUAUUAUUUUUUAAUGACAGAGGAUUUCAGAAACUCCAUCUGUGAAAAAUAAUACAGUAGAAGAGUGUGGACUUCUGUGGAUUUGGUCUAGGAACAGGGUGGUGUUUCUGUCUUUUGGCCAAGUUGCAACAGGAAAACAAGUAUUUUUGCUGGAAAUGCUGACAUAACUUUACUAAUAGCACCUCUAACAGAAAUUGUUACAAUGUCUAUUUACUCAGGUACAGCAUUAAAUAAGAGCUGUGAACUCACCAUAGCAACCCCUGCAUCACAUUGCAGAUAUGCUGCUUCUAAGAUAAGGCAAACAUUUCUGAAGAAAUACACAUGAAUAUGAGGUAAACGUGUCAAUUCCAAAUUGUGUUUCAAAAAUACUUUGCUAUACAGUAUAGGAAAAGGACCAUAACUAGAUGCGUUUUAGAAUAUUAAUGUAUUACUGAACUUUACUCUUCAUUGGCUUGUGAUUAUUAUCUUAAAAUGUAAGUUUAGACAGCCCCCCCCCUCUUGAUAGCAAAAAUAGUAGCAAACACAUUAUGGAGCUCUUCCAAAAUGUCACUGAGUCCCUACACUCCCUACAAAUUCAGGAUACUUAACUGUCCUUUUCAGUUUUCCUUCUGCUGAUGACCUGAGAUCUUGCAAAAAUGCUACUUUUCACUAUAAAGUAUUCAGUAGAAUUAUAUUAAUACAGUUAAGGUAAUCUAGAUUGAUACCCUUCCACUAUAUUAUGUGUCUCAGGUAUGAAGAGUGAAAAUCCAGUCAAGUUAAAAGGUUAAAACUCCUAAAACUUCUAUAAAUUCUCUGCUUCCAUGCUGAAGUCCACAAAUUCUUCCUCUUUGCUAAGCAGUGAAUGAUUUAUUACCUUGGCAUGCUCCCUUAAUCUGCCCUGAGACUUCAUGCUAUUCCAAAAUUAGAUGGUUCAGGAAGGUCUUCUCUCUGUGGUAUAGAAACUCAAAAACCUCAAGUAUAUUGUGAAUAUUUUUGGUAGCAGAGGCAGAGAUUCUCUUAAAGCCUCAAAGUAUUUUAAUAAGCCUAAAGUCCUCCUCGUCAAUCAGCACAUCUUCAUUUCACCAGAAGGAAGUGUUUUCUUUCUUACAAACUAACACAUUUCUUCACUGAAAAUGUUUAAAAAUCUUAUUUAUAAAUUUACUGAUGAAGUACAUCCACCUCAGAUGUAAUAUAUUUUUAUUACAACACUGUUUCUCCACUGGUUUUCUAUUUACUUGCUUUCACGGAGGGCUAUUUAUGUUUGGAGUGAGGAAGGUAUGGUCCCUGGCAACUACUGUACCUUGGUGACAUAACCUGGUCCCAGGUAACCCCAGCUGUGGUGAGGCUCAUGGGCACAUAUUUCCCUGCCUUGGAGUCUGAGUCUGCUGGGUGAAGCCUCCAUCCUGGCUCCCUGUCCCCCAGAAAGGGUGCCCUCUCCCUGGUGGGGGCUGCGGCUGAGUGCUGCAGGCAUCAGCAGGCUCCAACCCAGACCCCCACCAGAACUGGUGGCCUCCAUCCCAGAUAUGCUGCUCUAAGUGCUGUAUUAAAUCUUGGAUUUUACUCCCUUGCCAUGACUGUUCCUCAGUACAAAAAGUGCUGCUUCUCUGGUGAGAAGGGAUGGUUCAGCUCCUACUGGUGAAACCCCACUGAAGAGUGCCUGCCUCAGAAGCUGAGUGACAAUUUACACCUUCAUUACCAUUCAAAAGUUUCUUUAAGCUGCUUGUUGUGCUCAGUUUUGACUGCCUCUCUGCUCAGAGUAGAGAUAAGGUAAAUUGUGACCCUAUGGCAGCAUAGUUCAUCACAGGUUAUAUGAGCUGUGCCCUGACUUCCUGACACCUCUAGCCUUCCUCCACAAGCAAUAAUUUAUCUGUAGUUCUGUUUUGGUUUGGGUUUUUUUGUGUGUGUGUGGAGAGGGUGCUCUUUGUUUUAUUUUCAGUUUCAGUGCCAGCUGGACUUGUUUUUUCCCAGGUUAAUUGACCCAAUGUACAUUCACCACAAGUCUGCUAGCUCCUAAAACUAGAAAUUGCUGGUUGUGGUCCUUAGAUGACUGAAAUAAUAAUAUGACCAACAUUUAUUAUAAAAUAAUAACAAUCUAGAUUACUUUCCAAGACCUAGGUUUAUACAUUCACUUUAGUUUAAGCAACAGAAGUAGCCUUGUCCUCUUGGCUUUGAUUUUCUUAGAUUACCCUGAGACCCUUGCGAUCAACUAUCAACAGGAUAUACUUGUAACAUCACUUGUCCCUGCUAAUGUAAAUCCAGGUCACUAACCCCUCUACAGGAUGUAACAAAAUGAGUCAAAGGUCUGCCUAUCUGGGUCUCCAAACAACCAUGACCAAAAUAUGCUAUUUUCUCUAACUAGUGACAGCCAGGAGUGUGAGGUGGCCAGCAUCACAUCCAGUUGCCUUUGAGGCCCUGGCUUCAACAGAUGAGUUUCUAUUUAUAACUGGUUUUAUUGAAAAUGGCCUUUGGCACCAAUACAGACCAGAGCUUGGACUUUGGUCUCUGGAUCCAAGGGGGAGAGGCCUGUUAGUAUCCAUUCUCUGCCCCUUCACUAUGCAAAAAGACAGCCACAUUAAGGAGCCAUGGAAAUAGCUCAUGACACCCUGCUGUAUGUGUUGCUGUAGAUAUUCACUAGGUGGAUCAAUUAAUUAAAAAUUAAAUCCUAUCCUCUUGCCUCAUUAACCUUGCCUCACAAGAAUGUUUUUCUUCCUCAAUCUUCCCCCCUCUCCCUUACUCCUAUGGAAAUGAUCUGUUCCAUUUAUUGCAACCUGAUGUUAUAAAUUAUUGUUUUCUAGUACUUACUAAUUUAUUUUUAUUAAAAGUCUUUUCUUAUUUUCUUUCAAGGAAAAAAAAAACAACAUUCACAUAAGCUUUGUAAAAAUUAAAUGUCAGCGUUUAUGUGGCUCAGAGAAGUACCACAAAUCUUCUGCUGUUGCCAUCUCAGAUUUCUGGGCAGCGUGACAUAUUUUUUUGCUGUAUCUGUGGUUUUGCACAGUGUUUUCAUUUCUAAUAUUUGAAAAAAGAAUGUUUCUUUCUCUUUUGCAGUGAACAUUUCUGUUUGACAUCUUAUAGUAAUUCCUUAUCAAUGGUGCUUGAAAUAAGUGAGCAUUAAAGACUGAUAUAAUAUUGUAUAGCUUACUGCUGAGUAUGCACCACACAGCAGCCAAGGGAAGGGACAUGCUGAGUGUUGAACCAAUUUAGAAAAUGACUAAGCCUUUGUUCCAGACUUAUUGGUACAAAUGAUCAAUUUUUAACAUUGCAAUCCAACAUCAAAUCUAUCAAUUCACACUUCUCCUUUCAUUUCUUUUUCUUUAAAAUUUGGGGCUUUUUUCAGCUAUUUGGUUUAAAGGAACAAAGAGAUCUGAUAAACCUCCAUUUUGUUCCUACUGGAAAUACUUUGUAUAAGUUCUUUUACUAGCCUGCCACUGUAGUAACUUUUCCAUAGAUUAUCCUUAAAGAUUUAUUUUACUACCAAAAAAUGUGUAACACAACAGAAACACAUUCAUUCUCUUAAUUAAAUGAGCUACAGCUUUUUGGCUGAAACAAACAAUAAUAUUAUUUAUAACUCAAAUAACAUUGCAUAAACUGUGCUCUCAUCUAUAAAGAGACUAUAAAUGGCAUGGUAGGGUUCCAUAUUUGCUUUUUUCUUUCUUUUUCACCCUAUGACUUUCCAGUCGACCUCUCUUUUAAUUUACAAAUAAAACCAUGACUAUCUUGACUGCCAGCACUGAAAAUUCACCCUGGGAUCUGAGAUCAAGCUGUGUCCUUUCUGCUUUAUGCCAAAAUAGACUCUGGUUCAACUCCCCAGCACCGAGGUGGCUCUGCAGGGCUGGCAGGGAUGAAAAGCAAUAAUAGAAUUUUUGCCAGUAAAAAGAUGAAGUGAACAAAUUCUCUCAGAAGUAGGAAGAUACCAAUUUUCAAGUCAAUUUUAUAGAAAACAGCUGUUGUUUAAAACACAUGCUUUUAGCAGAGCUGGGGUAAGAUGUCUCAUUGCUUGAUGUUCCUCUACAACCUUGCUUCACUUCUUGCCUUUGGUCUUUCCAGCUCAGCUUAUAGCUCAGUCAAGCUGAAGUGUUUGCAGCCAUGGUCACACAACUUUUUCCCUGGUAGCAGUUCUGGACUCCAGUCUUUCUGCUCUCUUCUAAUUGUUUGCACCUGAAAGCUUGUGUUGUUACUGCGAUUGCUCUGCACAAUAGAUGGAGUGGAUUUUUUGGAUGUCCCCAAGAUCACCUCUUUGGACCCAGGUCCCAAAGCAAAUGCAAACAGUUGCUCUGUCAUGGCUCCCUCUUUUGCUUCUGUAUUUGUGGAAUACCAAAUGAAAUCUAGGGAAGGCAGUUUCCUAAUUAUCUUUCCCCAAUCCUCAUCAAAGAUGAGCUUUUAGCCAGUUCUUUUCACUUACCUAUAAAAAUUUCAAAGAUUUGUGUUUCUGAAAGUCAGUCAUCCCUGUAACAGUUAGCAGUGAGAGUCAAAUGGAAUGACAAUCCUUUGGGAUAAAGCAUGAGGACUUAACUCUGGGGUGCCCAGCUUCCUUUGGAAACCCUGCAUCUCUGUGGGGCUCCGGGACCCACAUGCCCUCAGACAUAGGGAUACAGUGCUCUGCUGCCACAGAGCCCACAAUGGGAGAUGGGCUCCCUCCUUGCUGAGGACGGGAGUUUACACAGGCAGAUAAAUUCGGGCAGCACAGGAAGGGUGCAAUGCCUGACAGCAGUAAAAAAAGAUGGAAAUAGGGACUGCUGUAGUAAUUUUCAGAAGCUGCAAUCAGUCUUGCUGCCAGCUAGAAGGACUGGGACACUUGACAGGUGAGAGCUAUGCUCUUAGGAAUAUGCUAACAGGUGAGGCUGGGUAAAGACAAGAUCGGAUUCAAAAUCACACAUGAAACCACCUUCUCUGGCUGCAAUGGGUCUCAGCACUCUUGGCGGAACCCACUUUCAGCUGCUUAAUCCUGGAAUUCACUGUGUUUUAUUUCUCAUUUAUUAAAGAGGGUCGAGAAAAUGUAAUGAUGCGUAACAAAGACUGCUGCCCCUGAAGGCUGUGGACCACAAAACCCCAAAUUCAAACUCUGGGAAAUAUUUGGCUACGGUUCUGUUCAUUCUUGUGGAAAUGUGUAGAAGGCACAUGGUGAGCUGCUGAUGCCUGGAUUGUCAGCUGCCCAGCACUGCCCUCCUCCUCCCUUUGACUGUCCCCUAAGAGCCCAAAUGCCACCAGCCCCUUUGAGAGCUCUGAGCUGGUCAUCCAGUGCCACAGCAGUCCUCUGGAGAUCCUGACAAACAUUGAGAAACCAAGCUGAACAACUAUUUACACUUUCUGACAGGACAAAUUUAAUAGAAGAAACACUGAGACAUGGGCAAUCCCUUCUGCUGACACGUCCUCUGUGAAAUGUGGUUCUCUGCAAUGUCUCCUUGGGUUUGAAGAAACCGAAGUUUAAUGGAACCUGUUUUUUAUCGUAUAUCUAAUUCAUCCCACUGGGUAUGCACUGACAUGUAGACUAAGAGAAGAGGAAGAUAAUUACAAAAGCAGAUUAAAACAUCUUCCAAGCAAACCAGAAAUUCAUGCAGAAUUUAUUAUAGAAGAAGUAACUCUUGUGUUUGCUUUAGAUGGUGUAAUGUACAUUUUUAUUUUUUAAAAUUUAUUUUUCUUAAUGCACUUUUGUAAAUUACUUCUGCAAGUAUGUGGUUGAGACUUCACUUUAAUAAUCAUAGCAAUUUGAAAAUGCACUUGUUUCUUCCUGAGGGGUAAACAUCUGCUCGUGGCAGAAAAUGUAUCUGUGACACUGAAUUCCUGCAAAGCUCUGUUUUCCCACCAGCCACCACCAAAAGUCUAAUUCUUUUUUUAGGAGUAAAACCAAAUGCAUAGAAGUGAAGACAUUCACAGUUCAGACAUCAACUCUUAUUUCCUCUUAGUUCAAUACAAUUUGUUUAUGUAUUACAGCAUCUGCUGCAGGUUAUGUAAGCCCUGUUGCAAGAACUUGUGAUAUCUGAUGAAUAAAGGCCAAAGUCUCAAUCUA